AAAACAUCAAAUCACAAGAUUUAUCAGAUGCAACAAAAUUGUUAAAAUUAAGAAGCUUAAUAUGCCAUUUCACCAAAUAGAAAUGAGCAUAUCUUGUGAUAACUCAAUGAAGGAAGAUCAAGUUGCACGGCCUUGCAUUGCUUCUAUGAAGAGAGGGCAACCCUCCAAAGCUUUAACCAGACCUCACCAUUGCUUCAAUAUCAUUUAUAGAGGAAGAGCAGCUUCAAUUUUGCCCCAUGAUUCUAAGGCAUCACCUUUAAGCCUCUUUUUCAUCUUCUCAACAACUUGCUUAGCUUCCUCUGAUCUCGACCUUUCUACCAACCCUUUAACCAGAC
rnacentral:lncRNA from 1 species